GUGUAAAGGGUACCUGGAGUCCGAGUUCCCCUGCCUCUUUUCUGGGGGGCCCCAUUUCCAAAUCUUCUUUUCUCCUGCUCCUUUCCCUCUUAACUGCAGAGUCAGCUCCGUAAGACAGACUUAAAGGGCCAAGUCUGGUCAUUGGAGUGGAGAGGAGCUACAGCUAACCGCCUAGAGCGUUGGUUUGGUCUUUGCUGCCAGUUAGAGUGCUUUACUCCACUGACUCAGUCAUCCCGACAACACUGAGAUCCAGUCUAGCACACGAGCAUUCUCCCCAAAGCCUGGCCACAGGAAGCGGCCUGCUUCAUCUCUCCGGAACCAGUUAACAUGGAAGAUACGAGGCAGCCGGGCACCUUUUCGUCCCUCCAUGCUCAACCAGUGUUCCAGCAGCUGCAGUGGACUCAGAGCGCAUGGAGCUACCUACAAACACCCCAUGACGCCAGCUGAAGGCCUCAUACACCAGUGGUACUCCUGGAACACCAAUGAACAGGUUUAUAGGCAACCUUUUUCUUCCAUUUCAGACCCCACGCCCUUGCACAUUCUGCAUUCACUAUGGGAGACAUGGCUAGACAGCAGCUGGAGGUCCCAAGUGAGCAGUCCUGUGAGUUUUAAGUUCAGGAAGAUGGGAGCUUGGACCUUUACUACAAAGGCACAGUGUCCACAUGCUGUUCACCUUUGGGUCUGCGGCCUCCAAAGAUGAUGGCAUCAAUAGGGACACCUUCUGGUGCUUCCCAGGCUGGGUCCAUGAUGGGACACUGGCGAGCCGGGACACAAAAGCGAGAGUUUGGAUGUGCACAGGGUUCCUUGUCACCUGGCAGGGGAAAUGCAAAAUGCCAUCACUUCCAAGGUCAUGUCCAUUCUCAACACAGACAUACAUUUUUUCUUUUAGCUUUUCUUUUCAUGAUGCUGAAGCUUAACCCCAGGGUCUUACACAUGAAGGGCAAGCACUCUACCACUGAGCUGUAUCUCCUGCCCUUCUGUUUGCUUUCAUCAGCUAAUUACAACCUUGUAUUGUAAAUAAGGGAGAAGGGAUCAGGAUAUCUUCCCACAAAGAUCAGGCUACUUAUCAAUAAUGGGGCUUCUAGAGAACUGUGGAAGAGGGCAGGGCACUUUGGGUACAAGUCUUAAGGAAACAGAGUUAAAAUAUUGGCAUGUGGUUGUAAUAAUUUUCUUUCCAGAAACUUUUAGUUACAGGAUUAUUAUUUACCAAAUCUAGUUUUCCUAAACCAAUGCAAAAACUGAGCAAGUCAGGUCAACAUUUCAAAGAAUGGGUUCCCAUUAACAAAACAGGGAAGACAGUCUCCUGAGCCAUCAAAAUGCAAACAGAAAGUGCUUUUUUUACACAUUUAUUUACUUGUUUAUUGUGUUGGGGGCUAGGGGUUGCCAUGGGAUGCAUAUGGAAAUCAGAGGACAGCUUGUUCAGUUUUCUUCCUCCAUGAGGGUCCUGGGAAUCUAACUCAGGUCAUCAGACUUGGUGGUAAGCACCUUAGCACACUGUGCCAUCUCACAGCCCAGGGAUUGAUAUGAAACCUGAUAGACCUUUGAUGAUUUCUCUGGUCCUGCCUAGUCCCUGACAGAGUGGGUUGGUUAGGGCAUGAAGUCA